rnacentral:lncRNA from 1 species
CGAGCAGAGAUAAGGCGGGACUUUACCUAGCAGGGUCUUGUUGAUGACCUGGAGCCAGUGGGUUUGGCGAUGUGUAUGAGUAUGAAGUAUGAAUAUCUACUGUAGCUUUGAUCAAGAUUCAACCUUUUAUUUCCAGAGUUCCCAGUUGUCUUGAAAGCACCAUUAAUCCUGAGAAUGCCAGUCAUUGAUGACAAAGUUUGAUGACAAAAUGUGCCCACUAGAAGAACCGCUGCGUUACUGUCUGUUCAAGUGAGCACAACACAACAUGGUUGUGCUCAAUGUAGCCGUGUUUAGAUUUCACAGAGUUGAGGAAAAAGAGGAGGAGGAGGAACGGGAAGAGGGGGAGGAGAAGGAGAAGGAGGACUGGGAGGAGGAGGAGGAGGUUCUGGUGCAGGUUUUGCCUGGAGCUUCCGGCGACAGUGCCCCGUCUAGAGAUGGCCACAGUUUGGAGCCUGCAGAGACGGCCCACAGUCCGGAACCAGCAGAGACGGCCUACCUACAGUCCGGAGCCGACAGAGACGGCCUACCUACAGUCCGGAGCCGACAGAGACGGCCCACAGUCCGGAGCCGACAGAGACGGCCCACAGUCCGGAGCCGACAGAGACGGCCCACAGUCCGGAACCGACAGAGACGGCCCACAGUCCGGAACCGACAGAGACGCCCACAGUCCGGAACCGACAGAGAUGGCCCACAGUCCGGAACUGGAGCUCCCAGAGUCGCCCUCCUGUCCGGAGCUCCCAGAGUCGCCCUCCUGUCCGGAGCUCCCAGAGUCGCCCUCCAGUCCGGAGCUCCCAGAGUCGCCCUCCAGUCCGGAGCUCCCAGAGUCGCCCUCCAGCCCGAGGUCUCCAGCGACGCGCAUCAGCCCGAGGUCUCCAGCGACGCGCAUCAGCCCGAGGUCUUCAGCGAUGCGCCUUAGUCCAGAGACUUCGGGAGGGGUAAAAUAUAAUAAGCAUUUAGCGGGGGUGGACAGGUUAGGUUGGGGAGUAAGGCCAGAGCCUGAGCCACCUCCGUAGUAGGAGGUUGGGGAGGGGGAGUGUAGCACAAGAACCGUCGGUGACGGUGGCCACCCUCCCUUCCCUCCCUAUAGUUAGGAUUAUGUUUUGUUUUGUGGUUUAUUUUUUUGUGUUUAUUUUUGUGUGAGGUGCUUCCGGGGUCUGCACAUUUGGGUGGGGGUACUGUCACGUCCUGACCAGUAAAAGAGGUUGUUUGUUAUUGUAGUUCCGUCAGGGCGUGGCAGGGGGUGUUUGUUUAGAGUGUUUCGG